CAUGCAGUCGCACGAGAACGUUCUGGCUUUGCCAGGACAAGUACAGUGGCGGACGGGUGCGUAUCGCGUAGAUAACCUGCCCUUAGGUGCGGGACAAUCACGGGAAACCGUGGCUAAUACCGCACGACGUCCGGAUCCCGCAUGGGAGCCGGAUGAAACCUUGGGGUUACCCAGGGGCCUUUGGAUGGGUCUGCGUCGGAUUAGCUUGUUGGUGAGGUAACGGCUCACCAAGGUAGCGAUCCGUAGCUGGUCUGAUAGGACGAUCAGUCACACUGGGACUGAGACACGGCCCAGACUCCUACGGGAGGCAGCAGUGGGGAAUCUUGCACAAUGGGGUCACCCCUGAUGCAGCCAUGCCGCGUGGAGGAAGACACCCCUAUGGGGCGUAAACUCCUUUUCUGAGAGAAGAAGCCCCUGUAGGUUCAGGGCGUGACGGUAUCUCAGGAAUAAGCACCGGCUAACUCCGUGCCAGCAGCCGCGGUAAUACGGAGGGUGCAAGCGUUGUCCGGAAUCACUGGGCGUAAAGGGUGCGCAGGCGGGGCAGCAAGUCGGAGGUGAAAGCCCGUGGCUCAACCACGGAAGUGCCUUCGAAACUGUUGCUCUUGAGUCCCGGAGAGGUUGCCGGAAUUCGUGGUGUAGCGGUGAAAUGCGUAGAUAUCACGAGGAACACCAGAGGCGAAAGCGGGCAACUGGACGGGUACUGACGCUCAGGCACGAAAGCGCGGGGAGCAAACAGGAUUAGAUACCCUGGUAGUCCGCGCCGUAAACGAUGAAUGCUCGCCGUUAUCCCGCUUAAGGGAUAGUGGCUAAGCUAACGCGUUAAGCAUUCCGCCUGGGGAGUAUGGUCGCAAGGC
rnacentral:rRNA from 1 species